rnacentral:tRNA from 1 species
GAGGGUAUAGCUCAGUGGUAGAGUGCGUGCUUAGCAUGCACAAGGUCCUGGGUCAAUCCCCAGUACCACCA